rnacentral:rRNA from 1 species
CGUAGCCUACGGGGGGCAGCAGUGAGGAAUAUUGGUCAAUGGCCGGAAGGCUGAACCAGCCACGCCGCGUGAAGGACGAAGGUGCCAAGCAUUGUAAACUUCUUUUGUCAAGGGACAAAAUCAGGCUCGAGAGCCUGACCGAGGGUACUUGAAGAAAAAGCAUCGGCUAACUCCGGGCCAGCAGCCGCGGUAAUACGGAGGAUGCGAGCGUUAUCCGGAUUGAUUGGGUUUAAAGGGUGCGGAGGCGGACUGUUAAGUCAGCGGUAAAAGCCCGGGGCUCAAACCCGGCGAGCGGUUAAAACUGG